rnacentral:rRNA from 1 species
CCCUUAGAUGUCCUGGGCCGCACGCGCGCUUCACUGAUGCAUGCAACGAGUUUAUAACCUUGGCCUGAAAGGUCUGGGUAAUCUUUUGAACGUGCAUCGUGAUAGGGAUAGAUUAUUGCAAUUGUUAAUCUUGAACGAGGAAUUCCUAGUAAACGCGAGUCAUCAGCUCGCAUUGAUUACGUCCCUGCCCUUUGUACACACCGCCCGUCGCACCUACCGAUUGAAUGGUUCGGUGAAGAUCUCGGACUUCGAUAUUUAUUCUUUAUUGAGUUUAUAUUGUGGGAAGUUAUCUAAACCUCAUCAUUUAGAGGAAGGUGAAGUCGUAACA